GUGCUGCUGAAGAGUCCCAAACAGAACGAAGCAGCUGUCCAGUAC
rnacentral:hammerhead_ribozyme from 1 species